rnacentral:tRNA from 1 species
GGAGAGGUCGCAUAGUUUGGCUUAGUGCGGCGGUUUGCUAAACCGUUGUACUGCUGAAAGGCGGUACCGUGGGUUCAAAUCCCACCCUCUCCGCCA